AUUGAACGCUGGCGGCAUGCCUUACACAUGCAAGUCGAACGGCAGCACGGGUGCUUGCACCUGGUGGCGAGUGGCGAACGGGUGAGUAAUACAUCGGAACGUACCUUAUCGUGGGGGAUAACGCAGCGAAAGCUGUGCUAAUACCGCAUACGCCCUGAGGGGGAAAGCGGGGGAUCGCAAGCCCUCGCGCGAUUAGAGCGGCCGAUGCCUGAUUAGGUAGUUGGUGGGGUAAAAGCCCACCAAGGCGACGAUCAGUAGCUGGUCUGAGAGGACGAUCAGCCACACUGGGACUGAGACACGGCCCAGACUCCUACGGGAGGCAGCAGUGGGGAAUUUUGGACAAUGGGGGCAACCCUGAUCCAGCAAUGCCGCGUGAGUGAAGAAGGCCUUCGGGUUGUAAAGCUCUUUUGUCAGGGAAGAAACACCGGCUCUAACACAGUCCGGGAAUGACGGUACCUGAAGAAUAAGCACCGGCUAACUACGUGCCAGCCGCCGCCGUAA
rnacentral:rRNA from 1 species